rnacentral:misc_RNA from 2 species
GAGUGGUGUUUGGUUUGAUACGGGUGGUUGGCUCCCUGCUUGAGCAGGCACGACCUCACGUCCAUUCCUUUUCAGUUGUGCGGCAAGGCUUGUAUUGUCUUGAUCGUAUAUGUGGGUUUCCUGUGUUGCAUACCUGAUCAACGGCAUCGUUUUGAUCAAAAACGUACGUUUUUCAUCUGGCGUUGCACAACAACGUCGGAUGAACCAUGUAGCAUCCUUUUUGAUCCAUAUAGUCGAUGAGAUUUCGUUGAUUGUUUGGCUCGUUAAGGGUGGCUUGGUCUCUCGGAUAUGGAAGCCAAAGUGGGCAUGGGUUCGUAUGAUCCUCUUAAUGCCCUCGUUGAGCGUUCUCGCUUCUCUUACACGACCGCCUUUCACGUAUGGCACGUCCCAGCGUGUUUGGCUAUGUCGAAGAGGAAUGUUACCUGGUUGAUCCUGCCAGUAGUCAUAU